GACGAACGCUGGCGGCGUGCUUAACACAUGCAAGUCGAACGAUGAAGCCCAGCUUGCUGGGUGGAUUAGUGGCGAACGGGUGAGUAACACGUGGGUGAUCUGCCCUGCACUUCGGAAUAAGCCUGGGAAACUGGGUCUAAUACCGGAUAGGACCUUCUGCCGCAUGGUGGGGGGUGGAAAGGUUUUCCGGUGCAGGAUGGGCCCGCGGCCUAUCAGCUUGUUGGUGGGGUAACGGCCCACCAAGGCGACGACGGGUAGCCGGCCUGAGAGGGCGACCGGCCACACUGGGACUGAGAAACGGCCCAGACUCCUACGGGAGGCAGCAGUGGGGAAUAUUGCACAAUGGGCGCAAGCCUGAUGCAGCGACGCCGCGUGAGGGAUGACGGCCUUCGGGUUGUAAACCUCUUUCAGUACCGACGAAGCGCAAGUGACGGUAGGUACAGAAGAAGCACCGGCCAACUACGUGCCAGCAGCCGCCGUAACAC
rnacentral:rRNA from 1 species